GCGUCGUUUGCGACGCCCAACACACAAAACAAGCGGUGAGUGCUUUGGGGUGGGGUGACUGCGUACCUUUUGUAUAAUGGGUCAGCGACUUAUAUUCUGUAGCAAGGUUAACCGUAUAGGGGAGCCGAAGGGAAACCGAGUCUUAACUGGGCGUUAAGUUGCAGGGUAUAGACCCGAAACCCGGUGAUCUAGCCAUGGGCAGGUUGAAGGUUGGGUAACACUAACUGGAGGACCGAACCGACUAAUGUUGAAAAAUUAGCGGAUGACUUGUGGCUGGGGGUGAAAGGCCAAUCAAACCGGGAGAUAGCUGGUUCUCCCCGAAAGCUAUUUAGGUAGCGCCUCGUGAACUCAUCUUCGGGGGUAGAGCACUGUUUCGGCUAGGGGGUCAUCCCGACUUACCAACCCGAUGCAAACUGCGAAUACCGAAGAAUGUUAUCACGGGAGACACACGGCGGGUGCUAACGUCCGUCGUGAAGAGGGAAACAACCCAGACCGCCAGCUAAGGUCCCAAAGUCACAGUUAAGUGGGAAACGAUGUGGGAAGGCUCAGACAGCCAGGAUGUUGGCUUAGAAGCAGCCAUCAUUUAAAGAAAGCGUAAUAGCUCACUGGUCGAGUCGGCCUGCGCGGAAGAUGUAACGGGGCUAAACUGUGCACCGAAGCUGCGGCAGCGACG
rnacentral:rRNA from 2 species